UGGGGAAUUUGGACAAUGGGGCAACCGUGAUCCAGCCAUCCCGCGUGUGCGAUGAAGGCCUUCGGGUUGUAAAGCACUUUUGGCAGGGAAGAAACAGCCUGGGAUAAUACCCGGCGGACUGACGGUACCUGCAGAAUAAGCACCGGCUAACUACGUGCCAGCAGCCGCGGUAAUACGUAGGGUGCAAGCGUUAAUCGGAAUUACUGGGCGUAAAGCGUGCGCAGGCGGUUCGGAAAGAAAGGUGUGAAAUCCCCAGGGCUUAACCUUGGGAAACUGCAUUUUUAACUACCGAGCUAGAGUACGUCAGAGGGGGUGAGAAUUCCACGUGUAGCAGUGAAAUGCGUAGAGAUGUGGAGGAAUACCGAUGGCGAAGGCAGCCCCCUGGGAUGAUACUGACGCUCAUGCACGAAAGCGUGGGGAGCAAAACAGGAUUAGAUACCCCUGGUAGUCCACGCCCUAAAACG
rnacentral:rRNA from 1 species